UGAAAAAACUCAAACGCCAUCAAAUCCUUUCGAAAACAAAAAUAAGCAAACAAUCGAUGCAGCCCCAUCACAAUCCCUCCCUCUCUCUCUUUCUCUGCUCUGCAGUUCUUUUUGUGUGGAUUUCAAAUGGGUUGCAACAAAUCAAAGCAUGACGUUGCCGCCGGCAAUACUGUUCGCCGUCGCAAGAAACUAAGCGUUGCCGUCGAAAGGAGCAAGGAAGGUCUAGAACCCAUCCCUGAAGGCGACGUCGACGGCGUCGCCAAAAGCCCAUCUCUGCAAGUGCAACAACAACAACAACAACCAGAACCUAAAAAUACAACAACAGAGAUAGAAUUCCAGAGCGAGAAGGUGGUAGGGGGAGGAGAUGUGAAAGACGUAGUUGUGAAUACAGAAUCGAACGAUGGGGGGACGAAGGAAGCAAAGGGUACUACGGGGGAGGAGCUGGUGGACGGAGGGAACGAAGCCCACCACGAUAGAUUGAUUUCUCGAGACUCACCGGACCACUACUUCUCGUCCAGGAAGAACGAGGAUGCGAUCGACGCCAUUGUUGGUGACGAAGGAGGAGUCGUGUACUUCUCGCCACCCCAUGAACCAGACAUGCCUGGAAUAGGAGCUAAACACAAGAAAGGUUUCGUUGAUGAAGGAGAGAAGAGAACAGAAACAGAGGAGAAGCGGAAAUCCAAGAAAUUGGAAGAGAAGGUUUUGGUGAAAGAAGAAAAAGUGGUGACAACCAUUGAAACCAGAGUGGUGACAACCAUAGAGAACAAGAACAAACUAGGUGAAAUUGUUGCGGAACAUUUAAGUGGUUCGUCGUCGUCACCUCCAAAAGUCAGUUCCAAAACUUGAUGUAAACCAGAAUCCGAAUGCAGAGAAGAUGAACAUACAUUGAUAAUCGUUGUAGUUCUAACAUGAUUUAAGUGUUAGUCGAAUUGUCAUUAGUCACUGAAGAAACGAAAAAAAUGUAAAAAAAAAAAAAGAGAAAGAAAAAGAAAUGAGGAAGCUUUUUCUUUUCUCUGAAUCAGAUUAUCAGAGCCAGGUUUCGAUCCUGGGACCUGUGGGUUAUGGGCCCACCACGCUUCCGCUGCGCCACUCUGAUGGCUGUUGUAUGUUUUUCAAUAUCGAAUUUCCAUUAUCUAUAGAUAAUUCGGUCUAGACCGGACUGAAUGGUGGUCCCACCCACCGGUCCUGAUGCCGAGCUACGGGUCCACGGUCCAGACCCUCUAGACCGUUUCACGGCCCUCAACUCCCUUGAGAGUUCAGAAACAGAAUCAGAGUAACUUUUUUUUGUUUUUCUUUCUAAACUCAUCCUUGAUGUUUUCUGAAUUUUUGCUGCCUUGUUCUUAUACUUGCAAAAAUGGGUUGUGAUGUCUGAUCAGAAAAGCUGGGUUUUUUUGCUCAAAAAGAAAAAUCCAAUACGAAAACCUUUCCUAUCAUAUGUUUGUUUCAUGGAGGGAAUUGAACCUUUUCUUUCUCGGAAGUCGGAGGUCAGAAGCUACUAGGCUGGAUUUGGAAUGCUCGUCUGUUGUUUUUGCAGUUGUGUCUACUUUCCUUUCAUCAUCUUGGUUUGCAUUACAUGACAAUAUGAACCCUUGUUUCGCUUUCUUAUGCCGAUCGAGACAUCUGAAUGGUAAAGAGGGACUCUUGAAGAUUGUCCACUUGAUUUGAGUGGGUCAAAUUUAACACUAGUAUCCUCUGCUUGCUCCAACAAAGGUGACAAAGGAAAGUGUUGUCGUUAUAUCAAUGCCUUUGUGGCAGUAUCAAUUGCCCGCUAUGCUAGCAUGUCAAGCAACCUUGGGGUUCCUUCAGGAUUGUCUGACAUCUGCCUCCAUUCCGUAUUAGAGACCCUGGAACUAUAUGGAGUUCCAUCAAAUGCAACAGUCUUUUGUGCACUUGGUAUAAAAAUCCCAGUCACUUAUGAGUGUUGAGCCGAAUAACUGUCAUGCAGAUGCUAGAAUCUCCAAACUUUGAGGAUGUCACAGAGAAACUGCAAGUUACCUCUUUCAGAGGAGAGUAGUUGUGGGAGAUGUAUGAAUGCUAGCAUUUUGUACCUUCACUACCUUAUAGGAGCUGAAGAUAAUAUGACAUUGAGUACUUGCCCAUAUGCAACUUUUGCUGCUCUUGCAAGCUAGGGUAAUAAUGUGUCUACCUUUGAAAUAGCUACUUGUUUCUUUGGUGCCCAAGGGCUUAAUGUUCAUACAGAUACCACCAACACAGAAAUCGCCAAAGUGUGGAAGGCAUAAGAGCUUACUUGUGGAAGGUUCUAAAGGAAAUAGCAGGCUUGGUAGGCAUAAGGGCUUACUUGUGGAUGGUUUUGAAGGAAGUAGCAGUCCUAGUAGUAGAAUAGGCAUGCUGUCUUGAUUUGAAAAUCUUCCAAUGGCAUCGUGAAUGGAACAUCUCUUGUAUAAACCAAGAAUUUAUCAAUUUGAAACUAAAAUGUAUUUGACUCAAAAAAUUUGA